GCGCCUGUGGUGGAAUUGGAAGACACGCCGGAUUUAGGUUCCGGUCCUCUGGGUCAGGGUUCGAGUCCCUGUGGGCGCACCA
rnacentral:tRNA from 1 species